UCCAAUCAGAGAGCAGAGUUGAAUCCUUCAGGUCCUAACUUUCAUUAAGGGUUUCUGCUGCUCAGGUGUGUAGCAUUAAUAGAAACUUACCUAUGCAGGUGCUUUGCUUUCAUUUCAAGGCAGCUUAACUCAGUUGGUUCUGUUUUAUCUGGCAUUAUCCAGAACUGAAUGUUAAUGUAACACGUUAGCAAACCUCAGCUAGCAAAAAACAUCUCAAGGGUCAUAGAAUGGUGAACUCAGGGAAUUGUGCCACACGGUGCAGUGGACAAGAGUAUGGGAUUCCAUGCGCUGUGUAGUCUUGGGUGUGUUGUACGGACUCGCUGUGUUCCGGGCCCCCGUCACUCCUACACCACGCUCAAGUCGACCACAUCGUGUUCCUCCAAAUGACCAGUAAUAAGACAUCCACGGUUCUGGAGCUCUUCCUUGAAGCUGCAAAGAAACAUGACAUUGCAUUCAGGAGUGAGAGGGGACCAAGGAGCUGAAAUGUGGACAAUCAAGGCUGUGCCAGAUAGUUUCAUCUCAGAGAAACAUAUCAACAACCUAAGGAAAUAGACAGAGAGUCUAUAUACAUGAUACCAAACCUCUGGUGCAAUAGCCUCCACAGGCUGACGGAGGACAGACCACUAGAUCUUUUUUUUUUUUUUUU